rnacentral:rRNA from 1 species
GACGAACGCUGGCGGCGUGCCUAAUACAUGCAAGUCUAACGAACUGACCAGAAUCCUGGUUCUCUUGUGUUAGCGGCGGGCGGGUUAGUUACACGUUGUUAACCUACCUUUAAGACUUGGAUAACUUCCUGGAACUAGUACUAAUUCCGGCUAAUAUUUUUAACCGCAUUGUUCAAAAGUUCAAGACGGUUUUGCUGUUCCCUCUUGAUUGCUCCGCGCUGCAUUAGCUAGUUGGUAAGGUAACGGCUUCCCAAGGCCACGAUGCAUAGCCGACCUGAGAGGGUGAUCGGCCACACUGGAACUGAGACACGGUCCAGACGCCUAAGGGAGGCAGCAGUAGGGAAUCGUCCGCAAUGGGCGAAAGCCUGACGGAGCAACGGCGCGUGAGUGAUGAAGGUCUUCGGAUAGUAAAACUCUGUUAUUAGGGAAGAACAUAUGUGUAAGGAACUGUGCACAUCUUGACGGUACCUAAUCAGAAAGCCACGGCUAACUACGUG